GGCCAGCAGCCGCGGUAAGACGUAGGAUGCAAGCGUUGUCCGGAAUUAUUGGGCGUAAAGAGUUCGUAGGCGGUUUAUCAAGUCUGGUGUUAAAGCCCGAGGCUCAACCUCGGUUCGGCACUGGAUACUGGUAGACUGGAGUGCAGUAGAGGCAAGGGGAAUUCCCAGUGUAGCGGUGAAAUGCGUAGAUAUUGGGAGGAACACCAGUGGCGUAAGCGCCUUGCUGGGCUGUUACUGACGCUGAGGAACGAAAGCCAGGGGAGCAAAUGGGAUUAGAUACCCCAGUAGUCCUGGCUGUAAACGAUGGAUACUAGGUGUUGCGGGUAUCGACCCCUGCAGUGCCGCAGCUAACGCAAUAAGUAUCCCGCCUGGGGAGUACGCACGCAAGUGUGAAACUCAAAGGAAUUGACGGGGGCCCGCACAAGU
rnacentral:rRNA from 1 species